UGAAACAUCUAAGUACCCAGAGGAAAGGAAAUCAAUUGAUACUCCCCUAGUAGCGGCGAGCGAACGGGGACCAGCCGAGCCAUGAGAAUGACCAGAACAAUCUGGAAAGAUUGACCAUAGUGGGUGACAGUCCCGUAUGGGAAGUUCGAUUGGACGUAUUAAGUAGGGCGGGACACGUGAAAUCCUGUCUGAAGAUCGGAGGACCACCUUCGAAGGCUAAGUACUCCUUACUGACCGAUAGCGAACCAGUACC
rnacentral:rRNA from 1 species